rnacentral:sRNA from 1 species
AUAAGCGGAGGAAAAGAAACCAACAGGGAUUGCCUCAGUAACGGCGAGUGAAGCGGCAACAGCUCAAAUUUGAAAUCUGGCCUCUUGGGGUCCGAGUUGUAAUUUGUAGAGGAUGUUUCGGGUACCGCCUCGGUUUAAAUUUCUUGGAACAGAAUGUCAAAGAGGGUGAGAAUCCCGUCUUGGACCGGCGGUAGGGCCUAUGUGAAACUCCUUCGACGAGUCGAGUUGUUUGGGAAUGCAGCUCAAAAUGGGUGGUAAAUUUCAUCUAAAGCUAAAUAUUGGCCAGAGACCGAUAGCGCACAAGUAGAGUGAUCGAAAGAUGAAAAGCACUUUGAAAAGAGAGUUAAACAGUAUGUGAAAUUGUUGAAAGGGAAGCGCUUGCAACCAGACUUGAGCGCGGCGGUUCCCCCUUGCUUCUGCUUGGGUUACUCCGCCGUGUCCAGGCCAACAUCGGUUCUGGGGGUCGGUCAAAGGCUCUGGGAAUGUAUCUACCCACGGGUAGACUUAUAGACCAGGGUGUCAUGCGACCUCCCGGGACCGAGGAACGCGCUUCGGCUCGGAUGUUGGCGUAAUGGUUG